GCUGGGUGCGGUGGCUCACACCUGUAAUCCCAGCACUUUGGGAGGCAGAGAUGGGUGGAUCACCUGAGGUCAGGAGUUCAAGGCCAGCCUGGCCAACAUGGUGAAACCCCAUCUCUA
ensembl:misc_RNA Metazoa_SRP Metazoan signal recognition particle RNA